AACCUGGUUGAUCCUGCCAGUAGUCAUACGCUUGUCUCAAAGAUUAAGCCAUGCAUGUCUAAGUAUGAACAUUUAUACUGUGAAACUGCGUACGGCUCAUUAAACCAGUUAUAGUUUAUUUGAUAUUCCCCUACUACUCGGAUACCCGUAGUAAUUCUAGAGCUAAUACGUGCGUCAAACGGCAUAUGUCGUGUCAUUAUUAGAUAGAAACCAAUGCGCUUCGGCGGUAUUGUGGUGAGUCAUGAUAAUUUAGCGGAUCGCAUGGCCUCGCGCCGGCGAUGGAUCAUUCAAGUUUCUGUCCUAUCAGCUUUGGAUGGUAGGGUAUUGGCCUACCAUGGCUUUAACGGGUAACGGAGAAUUAGGGUUCGAUUCCGGAGAGGGAGCCUGAGAGACGGCUACCACAACCAAGGUAGGCAGCAGGCGCGUAAAUUACCCAAUCCUGAUUCAGGGAGGUAGUGACAAAAAAUAACUUAGUCGGGCCGUUUUCGGUCUGACUUUAGGAAUGAGAACAAUUUAAAUCCCUUAUCGAGGAUCAAUUGGAGGGCAAGUCUGGUGCCAGCAGCCGCGGUAAUUCCAGCUCCAAUAGCGUAUAUUAAUGUUGUUGCAGUUAAAAAGCUCGUAGUUGGAUUUCUGGUCGGAGCGCUAGGCCGGCUCCGCAAGGGGUCGCGCUGUGUUUCUUCGUCCAUCCUCAGGGGAACCGGCGCUGGUAUUCAUUUAUCGGCGUCGGGACGCCUGUCGUUUACUGUGAACAAAUUAGAGUGUUCAAAGCAAGGUGUACUUGAAUACAUUAGCAUGGAAUA
rnacentral:rRNA from 1 species